rnacentral:rRNA from 1 species
GACGAACGCUGGCGGUGUGCUUAACACAUGCAAGUCGAACGGAAAGGCCCUGCUUUUGUGGGGUGCUCGAGUGGCGAACGGGUGAGUAACACGUGAGUAACCUGCCCUUGACUUUGGGAUAACUUCAGGAAACUGGGGCUAAUACCGGAUAGGAGCUCCUGCUGCAUGGUGGGGGUUGGAAAGUUUCGGCGGUUGGGGAUGGACUCGCGGCUUAUCAGCUUGUUGGUGGGGUAGUGGCUUACCAAGGCUUUGACGGGUAGCCGGCCUGAGAGGGUGACCGGCCACAUUGGGACUGAGAUACGGCCCAGACUCCUACGGGAGGCAGCAGUGGGGAAUAUUGCACAAUGGGCGGAAGCCUGAUGCAGCAACGCCGCGUGCGGGAUGAUGGCCUUCGGGUUGUAAACCGCUUUCGCCUGUGACGAAGCGUGAGUGACGGUAAUGGGUAAAGAAGCACCGGCUAACUACGUG